rnacentral:rRNA from 1 species
UACGUAGGGGGUUAGCGUUGUCCGGAUUUAUUGGGCGUAAAGAGCGUGUAGGCGGCCAGGUAGGUCUGCUGUGAAAACUCGAGGCUCAACCUCGAGACGUCGGUUGAAACCGUACGGCUAGAGUCCGGAAGAGGAGAGUGGAAUUCCCGGUGUAGCGGUGAAAUGCGCAGAUAUCGGGAAGAACACCCGUGGCGAAGGCGGCUCUCUGGGCCGAUACUGACACUGAGGAGCGAAAGCGUGGGGAGCGAACAGG